rnacentral:rRNA from 1 species
GACAGAGGGUGCAAACGUUGCUCGGAAUCACUGGGCGUAAAGGGCGUGUAGGCGGGAAGGAAAGUCAGAUGUGAAAUCCCUGGGCUCAACCCAGGAACUGCAUUUGAAACUCCCUUUCUUGAGUGUCGGAGAGGAAAGCGGAAUUCCUGGUGUAGAGGUGAAAAUUCGUAGAUAUCAGGAGGAACACCGGUGGCGAAGGCGGCUUUCUGGACGACAACUGACGCUGAGACG